UCUGAACUGAGAGAGAGAGGAGAGUUGAAUUGCGUAGUAGAGAUGGCGGCGGCAAAGGCAGAUUUCGGAGCUUUCAUGGAGAAAUUCGUACUACGUCCUCCACUAACUACUUCUACUCAACAACUACCACUGAACGGCCUUACUUUCGCCAUCAAAGACAUAUUUGAUGUUGAAGGAUACGUGACUGGAUUUGGUCAUCCGGAUUGGGCCAGGACCCACUUACCUGCCGUAUCAACUGCUCCCGUUGUUACAGCUCUCUUGAAUGCUGGUGCCACAUCUGUUGGCAAAACUGUCUUGGAUGAAUUGGCCUACAGUCUGAAUGGAGAAAACAUACACUAUGGAACACCCGUUAAUCCUUGUGCCCCAGAUCGGAUACCUGGAGGAUCUUCAAGUGGAUCUGCUGUAGCAGUGGCAGGAAACCUUGUAGAUUUCUCCUUAGGCACUGACACUGGAGGAAGCGUAAGAGCCCCUGCAGCUUACUGUGGAAUUUAUGGGAUUCGGCCUUCACAUGGUCUUGUUCCUAUUAGUGGUGUUGUUCCUAAUUCACAAAGCUUUGAUACAGUUGGAUGGUUUGCAAGGGAUCCUGUGGUCUUGAAUCAAGUAGCGCGUGUGCUACUGCAAUUGCCUAAUGUGGAACCUGUACAACCAAGUCACAUUAUUGUUCCAGAUGACUGUUUUCAACUUGUGAGCAUUCCCAGUGAUCGUGUGACCCAGGUUCUUCUUAAGUCUGUUGAAAAGUUGUUUGGAGGUCAAAUUGUUAGGCAUACAAACCUUGGUGAUUUUGUUAAGGAGAAUGUUCCAAGUUUAAAGCGUUUUCUGGAUGAAGCCAAUCAAGUGGAGUCUAAUAUACCUUCAUUAAUGGACCUUUCCAGUUCCAUGAGGUUGCUUCAGAUGUAUGAGUUCAAAAAUAACCAUGAAGAAUGGCUUAGUUCAGUUAAACCUAAAUUAGGUCCAGGCACAUCAGAACGGGUACAGAAAGCCCUUGGGACAACAAGUGAAAACAUUGACUCCUGUCAUAAAAUCAGGAAUGAACUCCGUGCUGCUCUUACUGACCUGCUUGGGGAUUUUGGUGUCCUUGCUAUUCCUACAGUUCCUAGGCCUCCAUUUAAAUUGCAAACAGAGGCUGUUACACUUGAAAAUUUUCGUGCUAGAGCAUUCAGCUUGCUGUCUGUCGCAGGAGUUUCUGGAUUUUGCCAGGUUAGUAUACCUUUGGGAAUGUAUGAUAACCUUCCGGUGUCAGUGUCUCUGGUGGCCAAGCAUGGUGCAGAUGGUUUUUUGUUGAAUCUUGUUGAGAACCUUCAUGGUUCUUUGAAGGAGCAGAUUGAAAUUGCUGAGGGAAUGAGUUUCUGAAGUUGUAUCUUUGUACUAUUCAAGAUGAGCUUGAGUGACUGUAAACGUAGCUUAUGUUAGUAUGUAACUCAGAUAAACUUUGCUACAUUUGUGUAGCUCAUUGGGCAAAAUUGGUUGCUAAUCGACAUCCUCAGCUGCAGCUCUCAGUGAGGUGUCCUAUUUACAAGUUUUUUUUAAUCAAUUUAAUUAUUGGCAUUUGUCUUU